GAAACUACAAAUAGAAGUUAGACGGGGGCCCGGCACAAGCGGUGGAGCAUGUGGUUUAAUUUCGAAGCAACGCGAAGAACCUUACCAGGCCUUGACAUGCAGAGAACUUUCCAGGGAUGGAUUGGUGCCUUCGGGAACUCUGACACAGGUGCUGCAUGGCUGUCGUCAGCUCGUGUCGUGAGAUGUUGGGUUAAGUCCCGUAACGAGCGCAACCCUUGUCCUUAGUUACCAGCACGUUAUGGUGGGCACUCUAAGGAGACUGCCGGUGACAAACCGGAGGAAGGUGGGGAUGACGUCAAGUCCUCAUGGCCCUUAUAGGUGGGGCUACACACGUCAUACAAUGGCUGGUACAAAGGGUUGCCAACCCGCGAGGGGGAGCUAAUCCCAUAAAGCCAGUCGUAGUCCGGAUCGCAGUCUGCAACUCGACUGCGUGAAGUCGGAAUCGCUAGUAAUCGUGGAUCAGAAUGUCACGGUGAAUACGUUCCCGGGUCUU
rnacentral:rRNA from 1 species